AGGUCCACACCGACGACGAGACGGGCCAGACGAUCAUCGCCGGGAUGGGCGAGUUGCACCUCGACGUGCUCGUCGACCGGAUGGUGCGCGAGUUCUCGGUGGCCGCGAGUGUCGGCAAGCCGCAGGUCGCGUACCGCGAGACCAUCACGGUGCCGGUCGAGAAGGUCGAGGAGCGCUACAUCCGCCAGACCGGCGGCAAGGGUCAGUACGGCCACGUGGUCAUCACCCUCGAGCCCACGGGCCCAGGCGGGGGCUACGAAUUCAUCGACAAGAUCACCGGCGGCGUGAUCCCCCGGGAGUACAUCCCCGCGGUCGACGCCGGCAUCCAGCAGGCGCUCGAGGGCGGCGUCAUCG
rnacentral:misc_RNA from 1 species